UAAUGCAGAGACAAGUUUGGAACAUU
rnacentral:piRNA from 1 species